UACGUAGGGGGCUAGCGUUGUCCGGAAUCAUUGGGCGUAAAGAGCGCGUAGGCGGCCAGAUAAGUCCGGUGUGAAAGUCACAGGCUCAACCUGUGAAUGCCGCUGGAAACUGUCUGGCUAGAGUCCGGAAGGGGCGAGUGGAAUCCUGGUGUAGCGGUGAAAAUGCGCAGAUAUCAGGAGGAACACCAAUGGCGAAGGCAGCUCGCUGGAACGGUACUGACGCUGAGGUGCGAAAGCGUGGGGAGCAAACAGG
rnacentral:rRNA from 1 species